ensembl:rRNA 5S_rRNA 5S ribosomal RNA
GCUGACGGCCAUACCAGCCCAAGAACCCCCGGUCUCGUCCGAUCUCGGAAGCUAAGAAGGCUUGGGCCUGGUUAGUACUUGAAUGGGAGACCUCCUGGGAAUACCAGGUACUGUACUUU